rnacentral:rRNA from 1 species
AUAAUGGGUCAGCGACUUAUAUUCUGUAGCAAGGUUAACCGAAUAGGGGAGCCGAAGGGAAACCGAGUCUUAACUGGGCGUUAAGUUGCAGGGUAUAGACCCGAAACCCGGUGAUCUAGCCAUGGGCAGGUUGAAGGUUGGGUAACACUAACUGGAGGACCGAACCGACUAAUGUUGAAAAAUUAGCGGAUGACUUGUGGCUGGGGGUGAAAGGCCAAUCAAACCGGGAGAUAGCUGGUUCUCCCCGAAAGCUAUUUAGGUAGCGCCUCGUGAAUUCAUCUCCGGGGGUAGAGCACUGUUUCGGCAAGGGGGUCAUCCCGACUUACCAACCCGAUGCAAACUGCGAAUACCGGAGAAUGUUAUCACGGGAGACACACGGCGGGUGCUAACGUCCGUCGUGAAGAGGGAAACAACCCAGACCGCCAGCUAAGGUCCCAAAGUCAUGGUUAAGUGGGAAACGAUGUGGGAAGGCCCAGACAGCCAGGAUGUUGGCUUAGAAGCAGCCAUCAUUUAAAGAAAGCGUAAUAGCUCACUGGUCGAGUCGGCCUGCGCGGAAGAUGUAACGGGGCUAAACCAUGCACCGAAGCUGCGGCAGCGACGCUGAUGCGUUGUUGGGUAGGGGAGCGUUCUGUAAGCCUGUGAAGGUGUGCUGUGAGGCAUGCUGGAGGUAUCAGAAGUGCGAAUGCUGACAUAAGUAACGAUAAAGCGGGUGAAAAGCCCGCUCGCCGGAAGACCAAGGGUUCCUGUCCAACGUUAAUCGGGGCAGGGUGAGUCGACCCCUAAGGCGAGGCCGAAAGGCGUAGUCGAUGGGAAACAGGUUAAUAUUCCUGUACUUGGUGUUACUGCGAAGGGGGGACGGAGAAGGCUAUGUUGGCCGGGCGACGGUUGUCCCGGUUUAAGCGUGUAGGCUGGUUUUCCAGGCAAAUCCGGAAAAUCAAGGCUGAGGCGUGAUGACGAGGCACUACGGUGCUGAAGCAACAAAUGCCCUGCUUCCAGGAAAAGCCUCUAAGCAUCAGGUAACAUCAAAUCGUACCCCAAACCGACACAGGUGGUCAGGUAGAGAAUACCAAGGCGCUUGAGAGAACUCGGGUGAAGGAACUAGGCAAAAUGGUGCCGUAACUUCGGGAGAAGGCACGCUGAUAUGUAGGUGAAGUCCCUCGCGGAUGGAGCUGAAAUCAGUCGAAGAUACCAGCUGGCUGCAACUGUUUAUUAAAAACACAGCACUGUGCAAACACGAAAGUGGACGUAUACGGUGUGACGCCUGCCCGGUGCCGGAAGGUUAAUUGAUGGGGUCAGCGCAAGCGAAGCUCUUGAUCGAAGCCCCGGUAAACGGCGGCCGUAACUAUAACGGUCCUAAGGUAGCGAAAUUCCUUGUCGGGUAAGUUCCGACCUGCACGAAUGGCGUAAUGAUGGCCAGGCUGUCUCCACCCGAGACUCAGUGAAAUUGAACUCGCUGUGAAGAUGCAGUGUACCCGCGGCAAGACGGAAAGACCCCGUGAACCUUUACUAUAGCUUGACACUGAACAUUGAGCCUUGAUGUGUAGGAUAGGUGGGAGGCUUUGAAGUGUGGACGCCAGUCUGCAUGGAGCCGGCCUUGAAAUACCACCCUUUAAUGUUUGAUGUUCUAACGUUGACCCGUUAUCCGGGUUGCGGACAGUGUCUGGUGGGUAGUUUGACUGGGGCGGUCUCCUCCUAAAGAGUAACGGAGGAGCACGAAGGUUGGCUAAUCCUGGUCGGACAUCAGGAGGUUAGUGCAAUGGCAUAAGCCAGCUUGACUGCGAGCGUGACGGCGCGAGCAGGUGCGAAAGCAGGUCAUAGUGAUCCGGUGGUUCUGAAUGGAAGGGCCAUCGCUCAACGGAUAAAAGGUACUCCGGGGAUAACAGGCUGAUACCGCCCAAGAGUUCAUAUCGACGGCGGUGUUUGGCACCUCGAUGUCGGCUCAUCAC